ensembl:snoRNA
CUGGAAAAUGGGGAUAAUAAUAGUAUCUCCCUCAAAGCCCCCUCAGGAGAGGAUUAAAUAAGCAAAUGGUGGGAUCUGAGAACUUGGGGGGGCACCCAAGGGCUGGCUCCCCGCCAUGAGGCAGAUCAACAGCACAGAUGGCCUUGCCUCACUUCGCCGCUGCCUCCAGUUCCUGGCAGCAGCCUGCAAGGAGGCCAACAGGUGGGGCUGGGCACGAGCCCGGUGAGCGCAACCUUGGAUCUGACA